UACAGAGGGUGCAAGCGUUGUUGCGGAAUUACUGGGCGUAAAGCGUGCGUAGUCGGUAUUGAGAGUCGCGGGUGAAAUCCCAGGGCUUAACCCUGGAACUGCCUGCGAGACCUCAGUACUAGAGUGUGAGAGGGGAUAGUGGAAUACCAAGUGUAGCGGUGAAAUGCGUAGAGAUUUGGUGGAACACCGGUGGCGAAGGCGG
rnacentral:rRNA from 1 species